rnacentral:rRNA from 1 species
AUUGAACGCUGGCGGCAGGCCUAACACAUGCAAGUCGAGCGGAUGAAGGGAGCUUGCUCCUGGAUUCAGCGGCGGACGGGUGAGUAAUGCCUAGGAAUCUGCCUGGUAGUGGGGGAUAACGUCCGGAAACGGGCGCUAAUACCGCAUACGUCCUGAGGGAGAAAGUGGGGGAUCUUCGGACCUCACGCUAUCAGAUGAGCCUAGGUCGGAUUAGCUAGUUGGUGGGGUAAAGGCCUGCCAAGGCGACGAUCCGUAACUGGUCUGAGAGGAUGAUCAGUCACACUGGAACUGAGACACGGUCCAGACUCCUACGGGAGGCAGCAGUGGGGAAUAUUGGACAAUGGGCGAAAGCCUGAUCCAGCCAUGCCGCGUGUGUGAAGAAGGUCUUCGGAUUGUAAAGCACUUUAAGUUGGGAGGAAGAGCAGUAAGUUAAUACCUUGCUGUUUUGACGUUACCAACAGAAUAAGCACCGGCUAACUUCGUG